GGCUUUUGGCUGUGGGCUGGGUGAGUGCUGUUGACACAAAACAAAUGAAAACACAUGGCUCAGAAAUGAUGACUAAAGUACAGCACAAAUAUAAAUCUCUGCACUUUCACUUAAAAAGUUUUGUGAGAAGUUCAGUUUUAAACAUUUAUUUACAGCAACUCAAACUUCUCAUUUCUGGAAGAGUGCUGCUGACACAAAACAAAUGAAAACACAUGGCUCAGAAAUGAUGACUAAAGUACAGUACAAAUAUAAAUCUCUGCACUUUCACUUAAAAAGUUUUGUGAGAAGUUCAGUUUUAAACAUUUAUUUACCGCAACUCAAAUGUCUCAUUUCUGUGUCACUCUCACUUCACUAUUCCUGCUCUGCAUGUUUCACCAGUGAUAUUCUGUGAGUGGGAAACUACCAAAAUGGCCACUGAACUGUAACCAGAUCUGGGAAAAUAGAACAUUUACAGGAUUUAUGACGGACACACAAACUCCAAUGGAAUUCAUACCCCAGGAAGUAACAAAGAUUCACAGAGAGAGGGUUUGAAACUUUAUUUUUUCUGCAUAACAAUCUGUGUAAAGAUUCAGUUUACAGAGUUUGUUGUAGAAAACUGGAAAAGAGAAGCAGGAUACAACUGAUGAGUCAAACAAUCGAUACUUGACAAGGUUAAUGAACAAAAACAGUUGUUGAAUUCAACAAAUAUCAGUAUCUCACAUGAUGUUUUACUACACUUACACUCUUUGCUUUGAUAAAACACAUACAUUCAUUGGUGUUUAAAAAAAUCCACAGUACAACUUCUUUAAACACUAUCAUGGUUAUCCCAGCAGCACGCUUCAGGUUGAGACCUUGAUCUGUAAAAAUGUGCCUUUAUUUUCAUCAUUGAUAGAACCAGCUCCUUAAGUAGAUACUGUGUGCCACUGUGGUUCAAUAGAAUUAUCUCCAUCUUUAAAUUAACAGUCUUUUUUAACUUUUUAAAAAUAGACUCCAGUGUUGGAUUAAGUCAUGUACAGCUGUAAUCAUCUGUAGAAAUUUGGCUCCCAUAAAGUCACAAACAAACUAAUGUGUAUGCAGAUACUUUUACACAGAUUUUUGAGCAAGCCAAAGUGUCCCUGUUCAACGCACAUUGGGCACAAAGAAGAAGAGAAACAUCUUUGUCAGCCUGUAGUUCACAGCCUCACCAAUCACAAGCCAUGUGGCCCUGUGCCAUAAUAUCACCUCAACCAUUAAUAAUCUCAUUCUCCUCACAUAGAGAGAGAUACUAAUUGUGCUAUUGAAAUGAAAAUGAGAGACUCUGAUCCAGUUUACUUAUUCCUUACAGUUACGCAUUUAAAACCUAAAGAACGAGGAACAGAGGUAAACUUGGUGGAGGUAAAGUUACAAAAUUGGCCAAACAGAAGUUGAAAGUCAGUGUAAAUAAAGUGUACUUGUUUGAGAAACUGACAUUUCACCUAGAAAAAGAGUCUAAAUUCAAAGUGCCAAAAAGUGUCUGCCCAAUAAAAGAAUUUAAAUUUGUUUAGCAGUUGAUUUUGGAGGAAAAAUCAAGCACUCCUUUCACAAAUUCACAUUAUUUGACUGUUGGCUGCCUCUGCACAGAAAUGUGUGAUAUUACCCCUGUGAGAAUCUCUGAGUAUGACUACAGAAGUAAGACGGAGUAAGCAAGAGUCUGGGGCAUGUUGUCCAUCCACAACUCCUGGAUAUGGAGAAGUAACAAGAAUUGCGUUUGGACAAUCAACACCAGACCCCCAGUCAAACUUGGGAUGAACAGCAAUAGCAGCAGAGCCCUGAGAGUAAAAACUUCUGUGAAUGGAUAG
rnacentral:lncRNA from 1 species